GAUGAACGCUGGCGGCGUGCCUAAUACAUGCAAGUCGAGCGAACAGAUGAGGAGCUUGCUCCUCUGACGUUAGCGGCGGACGGGUGAGUAACACGUGGAUAACCUACCUAUAAGACUGGGAUAACUUCGGGAAACCGGAGCUAAUACCGGAUAAUAUAUUGAACCGCAUGGUUCAAUAGUGAAAGACGGUUUUGCUGUCACUUAUAGAUGGAUCCGCGCCGCAUUAGCUAGUUGGUAAGGUAACGGCUUACCAAGGCGACGAUGCGUAGCCGACCUGAGAGGGUGAUCGGCCACACUGGAACUGAGACACGGUCCAGACUCCUACGGGAGGCAGCAGUAGGGAAUCUUCCGCAAUGGGCGAAAGCCUGACGGAGCAACGCCGCGUGAGUGAUGAAGGUCUUCGGAUCGUAAAACUCUGUUAUUAGGGAAGAACAAAUGUGUAAGUAACUAUGCACGUCUUGACGGUACCUAAUCAGAAAGCCCCGGCUAACUACGUG
rnacentral:rRNA from 1 species